AAGUCUCCGCUUCUCUAUUCCA
rnacentral:siRNA from 1 species